GAUGAACGCUGGCGGCGUGCCUAAUACAUGCAAGUCGAGCGAACAGACGAGGAGCUUACUCCUCUGACGUUAGCGGCGGACGGGUGAGUAACACGUGGAUAACCUACCUAUAAGACUGGGAUAACUUCGGGAAACCGGAGCUAAUACCGGAUAACAUGUUGAACCGCAUGGUUCAACAGUGAAAGACGGUCUUGCUGUCACUUAUAGAUGGAUCCGCGUCGCAUUAGCUAGUUGGUAAGGUAACGGCUUACCAAGGCAACGAUGCGUAGCCGACCUGAGAGGGUGAUCGGCCACACUGGAACUGAGACACGGUCCAGACUCCUACGGGAGGCAGCAGUAGGGAAUCUUCCACAAUGGGCGAAAGCCUGACGGAGCAACGCCGCGUGAGUGAAGAAGGUCUUCGGAUCGUAAAACUCUGUUAUUAGGGAAGAACAAAUGUGUAAGUAACUAUGCACGUCUUGACGGUACCUAAUCAGAAAGCCACGGCUAACUACGUG
rnacentral:rRNA from 1 species